GUAGGUGGCAAGCGUUGUCCGGAAUUAUUGGGCGUAAAGCGCGCGCAGGUGGUUCCUUAAGUCUGAUGUGAAAGCCCCCGGCUCAACCGGGGAGGGUCAUUGGAAACUGGGGAACUUGAGUGCAGGAGAGGAAAGUGGAAUUCCACGUGUAGCGGUGAAAUGCGUAGAUAUGUGGAGGAACACCAGUGGCGAAGGCGACUUUCUGGCCUGUAACUGACACUGAGGCGCGAAAGCGUGGGGAGCAAACAGGGAUUAGAUACCCUGGUAGUCCACGCCGUAAACGAUGAGUGCUAAGUGUUGGGGGGGUUUCCGCCCCCGUCAGUGCUGCAGCUAACGCAUUAAGCACUCCGCCUGGGAGUACGACCGCAAGGUUG
rnacentral:rRNA from 1 species